rnacentral:rRNA from 1 species
CGUAGGGGGCGAGCGUUGUCCGGAAUCACUGGGCGUAAAGGGCGCGUAGGCGGUUUUGCGCGUCAAAGGUGAAAGACCGCGGCUCAAACCGCGGGGGGACCUUGAUACGGCAAGACUUGAGAGUCGGAGAGGCAAGGGGAAUUCCUGGUGUAGCGGUGAAAUGCGUAGAGAUCAGGAGGAACACCGGUGGCGAAGGCGCCUUGCUGGACGACUUCUGACGCUGAGGCGCGAAAAGCGUGGGGGAGCAAAACAGGAUU